AUCGAAUUGGAGAUAAAGGAUACUACAGAUACAGUUAAGUCGGCUUCAUAUCUUGACUUACAUCUAGAAAUUGACAAUGAGGGUCGGUUGAAAACAAAACUUUACGACAAAGGAGAUGAUUUCAGCUUUCCAAUUGUGAACUUUCCAUUUCUAAGUAGCAACAUUCCAGCAGCACCUGCAUACGGGGUAUAUAUAUCUCCCAAUUGAU
rnacentral:lncRNA from 1 species